rfam:Mangrovibacter sp. MFB070 Contig-008, whole genome shotgun sequence.
CAUGAAACAACGUCUGUUCUUCUUCGCAUUCUUCUUUAUCUUCCCCAUCUCGGGGGGGCGAUUCGUCAUAUAAGAAGCACGCGAAGACGAAUAAGCAGGCCUCCCCAAACCGGGAGGCCUUUUUUAU